AUUGAACGCUGGCGGCAUGCCUUACACAUGCAAGUCGAACGGUAACGGGCCUUCGUGUUCCGGCGAGUGGCGAACGGGCGGGUAAUACAUCGGAACGUGCCCGAUCCUGGGGGAUAACGAGGCGAAAGCUUUGCUAAUACCACAUACGAUCUACGGAUGUAAGCAGGGGAGCGCAAGGGCUUGCGCGGGCGGUUCGGCCGGUGGGCGCGUGGGUAGUUGGUGGGCUAAAAGUUUAGCAGGCCGACGACCUGUAGCUGGUCUGAGAGGGUGAUCGUCCACCUUGGAACUGGAACAGGGACCAGGCUCCUACGGGAGGCAGCAGUGGGGAAUGUUGGACAAUAGGGGCAAGCCUGAUCCAGCCAUGCCGCGUGUAGGAUAGAGGCCUUCGGGUUGUAAAGUGCGUUUGUGCGGAGCGAAACGCUUUCUUUUGAUACGGGGGGGUCAUGACGGUACCGUAAGAAUAAGCACCGGCUAGCUACGUG
rnacentral:rRNA from 1 species